CUACGGGGUGCAGCAGUGGGGAAUAUUGGACAAUGGGGGAAACCCUGAUCCAGCAAUGCCGCGUGUGUGAAGAAGGCCUGCGGGUUGUAAAGCACUUUCGGUUGGGAGGACUGCUUCUAGCACUAAUAUUGUUGGAAGUUGACGUUACCUUCAGAAGAAGCACCGGCUAACUCCGUGCCAGCAGCCGUGGUAAUACGGAGGGUGCAAGCGUUAAUCGGAAUUACUGGGCGUAAAGCGCGCGUAGGCGGCUAGAUCAGUCGGGUGUGAAAGCCCCGGGCUUAACCGGGGAACUGCAUCCGAUACUGUCUAGCUUGAGUACAGGAGAGGAGGGUGGAAUUCCACAUGUAGCGGUGAAAUGCGUAGAUAUGUGGAGGAACACCAAUGGCGAAGGCAGCUCUCUGGCCUGAUACUGACGCUGAGGUGCGAAAGCGUGGGGAGCAAACAGGAUUAGAUACCCGAGUAGUC
rnacentral:rRNA from 1 species